rnacentral:rRNA from 1 species
UACGGAGGGAGCUAGCGUUGUUCGGAAUUACUGGGCGUAAAGCGCGCGUAGGCGGUUUUUUAAGUCAGAGGUGAAAGCCCAGUGCUCAACACUGGAACUGCCUUUGAAACUGGAAAGCUAGAAUCUUGGAGAGGUCAGUGGAAUUCCGAGUGUAGAGGUGAAAUUCGUAGAUAUUCGGAAGAACACCAGUGGCGAAGGCGGCUCACUGGCUCGAUACUGACGCUGAGGUGCGAAAGCGUGGGGAGCAAACAGG